CACCCUCAGACAUAGGGAGUGACAGGGACGAGGGAGGAUGCAAACAGCUGAGACUGUGGAGAGCCGGCUCGUUUCCAGGCGGUGUUGCUGCCUUCGCCUUGCCAAUGAGGACAGUCGGACACAGGGAAGAAGGGGCUCCACCAGCAGCACCCAGCGAGCACCCGGCAUGCCUGGGAUUCGAGUGCAGGCCUGUCUGAUUCUGUAGGGAGGAGAAAAUCUUCUUUCCUCUACCCCUCUAGGUUCUCUGGCUGGGGCUCUGAAAGAGACUGACAAAGGCAGAUUAACGAGAGAAAAACAGACACGAGUUUAUUACCACGUGCAUCACGCACACCCAUGGGAACGUCCGCACUUUGUCCCAGGAAUGGGGUCUGUAAUUCAGGGACCUGUAGAAGUUCACAGUGUGAGAGGAAUGAAGUGUCCAAUCUGCAAUCUGAAUCUUCCCUAUGAAAUUUCCACCUGGUGCCCUCCAGCGCAGAUUCUCGCACCCACAGUCCUGCCUUACAGGGCAGACCAUUUCCUCUCUGACAGUACUACCUGUCUGAAUGUUCUGCUUCAAACUGAGUCAAGAUAUGUGAACCCUGGGUAGAAGAAUUAUCAGGUCUGGAGGGAGCACAAGCAAACUAUCCCAUUUUAUGGACGUGGAAACCGAGGCCUGAGGGAGAGACGCACCAGGAAUCAGGAGAUCUGGCUCUGAUCAGCUGUACAAAUUGAGAAUUGUGACCUGACCUUGUCCAACCCAAGUGGCCCAACUCCUAAUUCUGUGAGUGACAUGUCUCUGUUACUUUGGAAUAUUGAUUGAAGAUGCCAUUAAGAACAUUCAUGAUUCAUGAGAGGAGAUCAAAAUAUCAACAUAAACAGGAGUUUGAAAGAAGUUGAUUUCAACCCUUGUGGAUGACUAUGAGAGAUUCAAGGCUUCAGUGGAGAAUGCACCUACAGAUAUGGUGGAAACAGCAAAAGAAAUAGAAUCAGAAGUGGAGCCUGAAGAUUAAACUGAAUUGCUGCAAUCUCAUGAUAAAACUUGAACAGAUGAGGAGUUGCUUCUUACAGGUCUGUGGAUCAACACUGUCUCCCUGGCCUCUACCCAGCGCGCAGGACCCCUUAGCAGAGCAGGAGAACUCAGGUUGGAACUCAUUAUUGCAUGGUGCUUGUCUUGCCAUCUGUCCCCAUAAUGCCUUAAGUGACAAUGACAUAGGCAUCUGACAAUGUAUGUGGCCAUCACUUUUUAUCAUUUUAAGAUAUAUGGGCCUUCUUUUUCCAACUCUUUUCCCCCGCCAGACAGCCAGGAGCCCAGAGAAGGGUUGUGUUGUGUCCUUUACUGAGCCCCACAGGCCUGUGUGAGCCAGGGGCUUGGCAUGCCUGGGAAUAAGAGCGCCAGCCUUUGGCCUUCCCGCAGCCUCUCCUUGGGGCCUUUAGGGUCCCCACAGGCCCUCCCCUCCCCUCUGCAUUUUCCAGGAUCCAGCCAGCUGCCGGCACACUUUCGUCCUCCUCCGCACACGAGGAUCCCCAGGCCCAGCGGUGUUAGCCCAGAGAGGAGCGGCGUUUGGGAUGUGAUCCACAGCUGAUCCCUCGUGGCCCCUCCUCUCCCGAAUCCUGAAACAUGAGGAGGCCCUUCAGCUGCUGGCUCGGAGUCCGACUAUGGGAACUUUCUCCGGUCUACGGGGGCAGCAAGGGUCUCGCCUCAGGGACUUGGUUUAUUUAUCUAGCUGGACUCCAUCCCUUAAUAUCCUACUUACAGAGGAAGAGGCUUUAGCAGCUAAAUGCAGCCCCAUCCCCUCCUGUGGAGACUGUGAGCAGAAAAAGAACAGAUAUUUACAGAGGCCCGAGCCCCCCUUGUUGUUUUCUGCAAGGCUGUCGAGCUGGUGGAGCUUCAGGAUCCUGGUCAGGAACCCCGAACCCAGCGCUGGAGGCCCUGAAGAUCAGGGCACCCGACCCUCUUCCCAGCCGCCAAAGGCCUGUGUUGGUCUGAUUGUGGAUUCCAAGCUCUAAUUUCCAUCCAUCCUCCCAAUCCGAAUUCCCUUUGCAGACAUAAACACCAUCAGCAAUGUAGAGAAUGUGUUUCCUCAUCUUUGAAUAUUAACACUCAUCUGUUUAAUUGAGCUACUUUUUACAUACAUGUAAGAUGUGCUGCAAUUGCAAAAGAAACAUGUGCUUCGUGUUCUAUAAGCCAUAUCUUCCGCAAGACCUGCCAUCAAAUGAUUGCUCAAACAUUUGUUGAAUGGGAUGAGCAAUGGAGGUUCAGACAGGUGCCCUGACCUACCCAGGCUGGAGGGUAGGGAGCUAGAAAUUCAUACAACCAUGCCUUGUUCUACUUGUUUUGUGAAAGAAUCAUGUGACCAGUGACAAAGAGGCUGGGCAGCUGGGUCAGGCAGCAGGGACAGCGACUGAGCUGGGGGGACUACAGUGCUGUGCUCCUCUGCACCCGUGCUGGGAUGUCUGAGGCCAAGCUGACACUGGCCCCCCACAAUCCCUUGGGGCUGCUCCUCCUCAGGGAGUGGCUCUCCGGGUUUCCUGCUUGACUCCUGCUGCUCUUGUGUUGAAGGGCCGUCUCUGGGCAGCUCCCCCUGGCCCCUGGCCAGAGAGCCAGGCCCUGUCAGGCACGCACAUGGAGGAUGAGGGAGGUGCAGUUGUUUUCACAGGUGCAGACUCUAGAGGGACCCCACGUGGACUCUGUGGCUUCUGCCCCGACGCACUCGCGGGAGGACACAGCUCUGCCCGGAAGGGAGAGUGCUGAGCUGGGUCCCUGCUGCUCAUCUCUGUGGCAUCACCCUGUCAGUCCUUCCCUGUCACACAUAUGUUCCGCAAGACCUGCCGUCAAAUAUUUGCUCAGUCAAACAUUUGUUGAAUGGGAUGAGCCAUGGAGGUUCAGACAGAUGCCGUGACCUGAAGUGUCAAAUGAAGGGAUGCGUGUGUGAUGGCCUUCACCAUUUAUAUUGUUUUAAACUUGCUAAGCACUAGUUAAAAUAAAAAAGCCAACACUUUUCUUUACAUUUUUACUCUCUCUCUUUCUAACAUAUAGUAUGUAAAAAGAAAAAUCUUGGCU
ensembl:lncRNA TMEM72-AS1 TMEM72 antisense RNA 1